ensembl:lncRNA
GAAGAUACAGAAUAUUGGGAAGUUACACAAAAUAGGAAGCUCCAUACUGGGGGGUAGCAAUCUGGUGCUGGACAGUAGCACAGACUAGCUAACUGUGAUCUCAUAGCCUACAGAAAAAGGCAGCAUGCCCAGGACCAAUGGAGGGCAUCCAGGAAUCAGAGACUGACCUUUGUGUGUAACUGCAGGACCUUGGCAACUACCCUCAGUUCAAUGUGGCCUCUAUCCCAACACCUCCAGGGCUCCCUGUAAAACAGGGCUGGCAUGCAUUUGUUAUGCCACUGGAGAUCCUCAGAAGCAAACAUACUGAAACAAGAGAGAUGCUGGGAAUGGGAGAGAAGCAGUACAAGUUUUAUCAUCAAACCCAUAACCCCAUUUGCCCCAGCCCAUAUCCUGAGCCCCUGAAGCGCACAGCCCCCCAGCAAUGUGGUUUCUGACAAUGCAGAGAGGUCAUCUACGGAGGAGGGUAACUUCAUAGAGAAAAAAAUAUUUCGUUGAGUUUUUGUUUUUCUUUUGAGACAGGGUCUCCCUACAUUGCCCAGGAAGUGAUCCACCUACCUCAGCCUCCCAAUGUGUUGGGAUUAUAGGCAUGAGCCACCAUGCCCAGCCUGAUAUUUUUUUAGUCUUUUAUUUUAUCCAUUUUUUGUUUUAAGAGACAGGACUCACUAUGUUGCCUAGAAUGGCCUCAAACUCCCGGACAGAAGUGGUCCUCCCCCGGGUGGAUCAUGAGGUCAAGAGAUCGAGACCAUCCUGGCCAACAUGGUGAAACCCUGUCUCUACUAAAACUACAAAAAUUAGCCGGGCGUGGUGGCACGUGCCUGUAACCCCAGCUACUCAGAAGGCUGAGGCAGGAGAAUCGCCUGAACCCGGGAGGUGGAGGUUGCGGUUGUGGUGAGCCGAGAUCGGACCACUGCACUCCAGCUUGGCGACACAGGAAGACUCUGUCUCAAAAAAAAAAAAAAAAAAAAAAAAGAAAGUGGUCCUCCCCCUCAGCCUCCCAAGCAGCUGGCAAUACAGGCACAUGCCACCAUUGCCUGACAUUCCUGGUGCCCGGGGGUAGCAGAGCUGAUGCAGAGAGGGUGGCUGGAGCAGGAGUUGCUAUCCUCCAUGGCCCCUUUGCUGGUGCUCAAUCAGGAUGAGUUUGCAGCUGUCAAAGGCAUAAAAAUCAGGCCCAAACAGAAACCUACUCCAGGGCAAUUCUCAGGACUGCCAACAGAUGGUAAUGUUACUCUAGAGAAUAGCAGUUUCUCACCAAAAACCAAACCCAACACCAAGAUCUUUCCAAGCUUUUCCAAACCUGUAACAAAAGUUUUUAAGGAUUGGAAAUAAUCUGAAAGGGGAUUUCUGAAAUGAUCUGUGCUCUCAUAUACUGUUGGUAGAAAAGUAAAUUCGCAUAUCCCCUUAGGAGGGCAAUUUGACAAUAAUUAUCAAAACAUAAAAUGCACAUUCCCUAAGAGUCAGCAAUUCCAUUUCUAGCCACUCUCACAUAAGAAAUAAUAGGUUUAAGGCCAGGCGCGGUGGCUCAAGCCUGUAAUUCCAGCAUUUUGGGAGGCCGAGACGGGCGGAUCACGAGGUCAGGAGAUCGAGACCAUCCUGGCUAACACGGUGAAACCCCAUCUCUACUAAAAAAAAUACAAAAAAAUAGCCAGGCGAGGUGGCGGGCGCCUGUAGUCCCAGCUACUCGGGAGGCUGAGGCAGGAGAAUGGCGUAAAACCUGGGAGGCGGAGCUUGUAGAGAGCUGAGAUCCGGCCACUGCACUCCAGUCUGGGCGACAGAGCGAGACUCUGUCUCAAAAAAAAAAAAAAAAAAAA